rnacentral:rRNA from 1 species
AUCAGCAUGCCGCGUGAGUGAUGAAGGCCUUAGGGUUGUAAAGCUCUUUUACCCGGGAUGAUAAUGACAGUACCGGGAGAAUAAGCUCCGGCUAACUCCGUGCCAGCAGCCGCGGUAAUACGGAGGGAGCUAGCGUUGUUCGGAAUUACUGGGCGUAAAGCGCGCGUAGGCGGUUUUUUAAGUCAGAGGUGAAAGCCCGGGGCUCAACCCCGGAACUGCCUUUGAAACUGGAAAGCUUGAAUCUUGGAGAGGUGAGUGGAAUUCCGAGUGUAGAGGUGAAAUUCGUAGAUAUUCGGAAGAACACCAGUGGCGAAGGCGACUGACUGGACCAGUAUUGACGCUGAGGUGCGAAAGCGUGGGGAGCAAACAGGAUUAAAUACCCUGGUAGUCCACGCCGUAAACGAUGAUAACUAGCUGUCCGGGUUCAUA